rnacentral:rRNA from 1 species
UACAGAGGUCUCAAGCGUUGUUCGGAAUUACUGGGCGUAAAGCGCGUGUAGGCGGUUAUCCAAGUCGGGUGUGAAAGCCUUGAGCUCAACUCAAGAAAUGCAUUCGGUACUGGGUGACUAGAGGACCGGAGAGGAUAGUGGAAUUCCCAGUGUAGUGGUGAAAUACGUAGAGAUUGGGAAGAACACCAGUGGCGAAGGCGGCUAUCUGGACGGUUUCUGACGCUAAGACGCGAAAGCGUGGGGAGCAAACAGG